CGUAGUAGGUUGUAGUACCGUGGCUCGAGGAACGACGUGGCGGCGUGGACUUAGCAUGCAAGUCGAACGGUAUCAUCCUUUCGGGGGUGAGAGAGUGGCGAACUGGUGAGUAACACGUAGGUUAUCUACCCUCAAGACGGGGACAACCCAGGGAAACUUGGGCUAAUACCGGAUGUGAGCAACUUUUAGUUGUUUGAAAGGUGGCGUAAGCUGUCGCUUGGGGAUGAGCCUGCGUCCUAUUAGUUAGUUGGUGAGGUAACGGCUCACCUAGGCAAUGAUAGGUAGGCGGCCUUAACGGGUGGUCGCCCACACUGGGAUUGAGAUACGGCCCAGACUCCUACGGGAGGCAGCAGUCGAGAAUAGUCUACAAUGGUCGGAAGACUGAUAGUGCGACGCCGCGUGAACGAUGAAUCCCUUCGGGGUGUAAAGUUCUUUUAUAUGUGAGCAGUGCUUCUUAUAUUAACAGUAUGGGGAGAGAGAUAUUAGCAUAUGAAUAAGCAACGGCUAACUCCGUG
rnacentral:rRNA from 1 species